GCAUUGGUGGUUCAAUGGUUAAUGUCAGCUUGCGACGUAGGUGACCCGGGUUCGAUUGCCGCCCAAUGCA